rnacentral:lncRNA from 1 species
CAUUCCCCCAGUAAGUCUCGGACUGAGGGUGUUGCAAUGGAUCGCCGUAGACCUCGCUGGUGCUGGUUAGCAAGAGCCUCGCCCCGACUCUCUUCGCCAGGCCGAGCAUGUUCAACGUUCCGGCCACGUUGGUCUUGUGAGCAAAAAGUCAAGGAAAUUCGAAAGAAGAAUGAAAAAUAAAAACCAGAAGAAAUGGGAUAAUAAAAUCAAUUGAUCAAGGAGGAAGAGGAUAUGAUAGUCUUGACUGGAUUGAACUUGUAAUGAACAGGGGAAGCAGGGCAAGCCAAAUGAUAGAUCUGAUCAACCUCCAGAAGAAUCGGCUCCACGACGUCGUGCCGGAUGAGCUCAAACUUGUGGUUACCGAAAUGGUGCAUCAG